CGGCGGACGGGUGAGUAACACGUGGAUAACUUACCUAUAAGACUGGGAUAACUUCGGGAAACCGGAGCUAAUACCGGAUAAUAUAUUGAACCGCAUGGUUCAAUAGUGAAAGACGGUUUUGCUGUCACUUAUAGAUGGAUCCGCGCCGCAUUAGCUAGUUGGUAAGGUAACGGCUUACCAAGGCAACGAUGCGUAGCCGACCUGAGAGGGUGAUCGGCCACACUGGAACUGAGACACGGUCCAGACUCCUACGGGAGGCAGCAGAC
rnacentral:rRNA from 1 species